GCUAAAAAUCUAGCCCCUCCCCCCCCAGACUUUAAAAAUUAAUUAGACUAAUUAAAACAUUCUCAAAUUUUAGUAAAGGCGAUUGAAAAAUUAUUAGGAGCUAUAUACGUAGUACCGCAAGGGAAAGAUGAAAUAAAAUGAAAAAUUUUAAGCACAAAAAAGUAGAGAUUAACUCUCGUACCUUUUGCAUCAUGGUUUAACUAGUUUAAUUAAGCAAAAUGACUUAUAGUUUAACUUCCCGAAACUAGGCGAGCUACUUCAAGGCAGCUUAUUGAGCAAACCCGUCUCUGUUGCAAAAGAGUGGGAAGACCUUCAAGUAGAGGUGACAGACCUAACGAGCUUAGUGAUAGCUGGUUACUCAAGAAAAGGAUUUUAGUCCACCCUAAAGCUUUUAAAUUUCCUUAAAAUAACAAACUUGCUUUAGAGUAAUUCAAAUAAGGGACAGCCUAUUUGAAACAGGAUACAACCUUAAAGAAUGGGUAAUUGUUUUUUAUAGUGAUUAAGUAGGCCUAAAAGCAGCCACCUUUAAAAUAGCGUCAAAGAUUUAUUACUGCUAACCCCAAUUUCGUUCACAUUCAAGAACCCUCCAUCUCUAUUGAGUACUUCUAUACUAAUAUAGAAUAUUUUAUGUUAAAACUAGUAACAAGAAGUAGAACUUCACUUAAAUAUGAGUGUAGUCAGAAAGGACACCCCACUGACCCCUAACAUAUAUGAAAACAAAUUAAUAACUCUCACAAGAAAAACUUAAUUUAUAUCAUGUUAACCUAACACUAGAACAUUACAAGUAAGAUUAAAAGAAAAAGAAGGAACUCGGCAAAUAUUAACCCCGCCUGUUUACCAAAAACAUCGCCUCCUGCAAAGUAUAGGAGGUCCAGCCUGCCCAGUGACUCUGUUCAACGGCCGCGGUAUCCUAACCGUGCGAAGGUAGCGUAAUCACUUGUUCUUUAAAUGGGGACCAGUAUGAAUGGCACCACGAGGGUUAUACUGUCUCCUUUUUCUAAUCAGUGAAACUAAUCUCCCCGUGAAGAAGCGGGGAUAGCCCUAUAAGACGAGAAGACCCUAUGGAGCUUUAGACUAAAUGACACUUGCCUUCAAAUAUAUAAACUUCAGAGCAUUCACACCAAAUAAGGUUUUCUGAUUAUUAGUCUUAGGUUGGGAUGACCGCGGAGCAUAAAAAAACCUCCACAUUGAAUGGGGCUUCCCCUGAGCUCCGAGCUACAACUCUAUGCACCAAUAAAUUGGCACUAAUUGACCCAAUAUUUUGAUCAACGAACCAAGUUACCCUAGGGAUAACAGCACAAUCUGCUUCAAGAGCUCCUAUCGACAAGCGGGCUUAUGACCUCGAUGUUGGAUCAGGGUAUCCCAGUGGUGCAGCCGCUACUAAAGGUUCGUUUGUUCAACGAUUAAAACCCU
rnacentral:rRNA from 1 species